AUUCACUAAUUGCAUUCCUCAAAGAUGGCGGCAGAAAGUCCUUCACUAGCAGGGGACACUCCAGUGAGAAAAAGAAACAGAAAAACGAAAAGAAGAAGUACCAGAGAGUUUAUUCCAGGAAGUGACCAAAGAAGAUUACACUGACAUAAUUCACACGAGUCAAGGAGAUAAUUUUGUUCUCUCUCUCUCUCUCUCUCUCUCUCUCUCUCUCUCAGCUUUUAUGGAAAUCUGAUCUACGUCUCAUAGAGUUCUUGCACUGAUGUAAUCAAUGGGAGGGUGUGGCUAAAUUUGAGCUAAAUUGUCUGCCAUGUUGGGUGACAAGAAUGUACAUGGAGGAAUGGAAGGAAUGGAGAAAAAAUCUGAAUAAAUUCUGCAAUUGACAUUUCAGGUUAUAGAGAAAGAGUGUUGAUAGAAAAUAUGUGUUUCAUUUACCCGACACAUUCCCAGAGACUCAAAGUAUCUUGAGGUACGUUAUUCCGCUCGUCAUCCUGCCCCUCCCCCACCUCCUCUGGUCUCUCGUACAGCUGUGUGUUUGGUACCAAUACAACAAGGACAGUGUUUUGAUGCUCAUAUGGAUUCUCCUAUACCUGGUCUACAGUAUGUGAUGGGUACUGAUACUGAUCCUGAACUACCUUAGAGUGACUUUUAAUUGCGGGUACUAAAUUUUGCGAUUUUAGCACAAGGGUUAUUACCAGCUAAAGGGUAAGCCAGGAGAAUGGAAGCUGAGACUAAAGCUAGGUUCAGAAUUCUUGUGUUGCGACCGGAAGUGCUGUA